rnacentral:lncRNA from 1 species
CCCAUCCACACCUCUGGGGCUCUGUGGACUGAGGGGCACCGAGUGCCUGGGGACACACAGGGACCACAGGGACCAUGGGGAAACUCAGAGAUCAUGGGGACACACAGAGAACAGGGGGACAUGCAGAGACCAUGGGAACAACACACAGGGACCAUGGGGACACACAAGGACCAUGGGGACACACAGAGACCAUGGGGACACACACAGGGACCACAGGAACACAAAGACACCAUAGGGUCAUGCAGGGACCACAGGGACCAUGGGGACACACAGAAAACAGGGGGACAUGCAGGGACCACGGGGACACACAGGGACCAUGGGGACACACAGGGACCUUGGAGACACACAGAGAGACCAUGGGGACACACAGGGAGACCAUGGGGACACACAGAGAACAGGGGGACACACAGGGACACACAGGGACCAUGGGGACACACACAGAGACCACGGGGACAGACAGGGGCCACGGGCACACGCCCUGUCCCAGCCCCAGGUUCUGCCCCAGGGUUUGGUGCUGGCUGUUGCAGCCUGCAGGGCUGGGCCCCGCUCCAGGGAGCAGCACUGCAGCUGAGAGCCCGAGCGGGCAGAGCAGUGCUGGGAAUAUCAAUCAGGGAGCCUUGGAGCAGGAGGCUGCACACACAGCCAGGGCUUUCAUCCCCCAGGAUCCACAGCUCAGCCAGCCAGGGGCUCAGCCCUGCGCUGGGAGGGCUCAGCAUCCCUCUGUACUGCAGCCAGCAUGGUCAGCAGAGACUGGGGAGAGCCAGGGAGAAGGGAGAGAUCAGGAGAGAGGGUGGAGAGGAGCAGACACAGCUGGGAAAGGAGCAGGAAGAUCUGGGGGGGAAAGGAGGAGUUCCCCAGGUCCAAGCUAGGAAAGGGCAAUGCUGGCUCCAAGGGCGUCAGGCUGAGGGGAAGCUGAGGCUAUGAGGAGGCAGAGGAAGAGGAGGGCAGGGAGGAAUGGCAAGAGGGGAACUGGGCAGUGCUGUCACCCAGCCCCAGUCAAGGAGCACAGGCUGGGGGAGCCUUCAAGGGAGGAAGGACGAGGUCCCAGUGCUGGAGGGGCCAGGGACUGCCAGGCAGGAGAGACCCAAUGACCUCCCUGAUGUGCUGGGGACAAUCAGUGCCACUGUGUCCUUGAGGACACUGCCUACAGAGCUGUCACCUGGCCUAGGCUGCCCACCCUGCUGUCACCUGCUGUCCCUGUGCCCACCCCAGUGCCACCCUCCA